UUGUUUUCUAAAGCAUGUCUCCCAAAAGUGGGAACCGGUUUUGGGGCAAAGACAUGCGUAAAAACAAAAGCUUAAAGCGUGUUGCCUGAAUACGAUUGAAUGCAACACGCUUUAGUCGUUCCCGCAUUCGAGCCGUUUUGCGAU
rnacentral:ncRNA from 1 species